AACGAACGCUGGCGGCAGGCUUAACACAUGCAAGGUCGAACGCCCGUAGCAAUACGGGAGUGGCGGACGGGUGAGUAACCGCGUGGGAACGUACCCUGAGGUACGGAAUAACCGAGGGAAACUUCGGCUAAUACCGUAUGAGCCCCGCAAGGGGGAAAGAUUUAUCGCCUUGGGAGCGGCCCGCGUCGGAUUAGCUAGUUGUGGGGUAACGGCCUACCAAGGCUUCGAUCCGUAGCUGGUCUGAGAGGACGAUCAGCCACACUGGGACUGAGACACGGCCCAGACUCCUACGGGAGGCAGCAGUGGGGAAUCUUGCGCAAUGGGGGCAACCCUGACGCAGCCAUGCCGCGUGAACGAUGAAGGCCUUAGGGUUGUAAAGUUCUUUUACCCGUGACGAUGAUGACGGUAACGGGGGAAUAAGCUCCGGCUAACUUCGUG
rnacentral:rRNA from 1 species